rnacentral:rRNA from 1 species
AUGGUUUGGGAAGAACCUAAGAUGUCGUUUCUAAAAGUUUGGGGAUGCAAUGCUUUUGUCAAGAAACUUCAACCUGAAAAGCUCGAACCCAGAUCGGAAAAAUGCGUCUUCAUAGGAUACCCUAAAGAAACUAUUGGGUAUACCUUCUACCUCAGAUCCGAAGGCAAGAUCUUUGUUGCCAAGAAUGGGUCCUUUCUAGAGAAAGAUUUUCUCUCGAAAGAAAUAAGUGGGAGGAAAAUAGAACUUGAUGAAGUAUUACCUCUUGAACCGGUAAGUGGCGCAGCUCAAGAAAAUGUUCCUGAGGUGCCUGCACCGACUAGAGAGGAAGUUGAUGAUGUUGAUCAUGAAACUUCAGAUCAAGUUGCUACUGAACUUCGUAGGUCCACGAGGACACGUUCCACACCAGAGUGGUACGGCAACCCUGUCUUGGAAAUAAUGUUGUUAGACAACGGUGAACCUUCGAACUAUGAAGAAGCGAUGGCGGUCCCGGAUUCCGACAAAUGGCUGGAAGCCAUGAAAUCCGAGAUAGGAUCCAUGUAUGAAAACGAAGUAUGA